CAGAUGGGAGCUUGCUCCCUGAUGUUAGCGGCGGACGGGUGAGUAACACGUGGGUAACCUGCCUGUAAGACUGGGAUAACUCCGGGAAACCGGGGCUAAUACCGGAUGCUUGUUUGAACCGCAUGGUUCAAACAUAAAAGGUGGCUUCGGCUACCACUUACAGAUGGACCCGCGGCGCAUUAGCUAGUUGGUGAGGUAAUGGCUCACCAAGGCAACGAUGCGUAGCCGACCUGAGAGGGUGAUCGGCCACACUGGGACUGAGACACGGCCCAGACUCCUACGGGAGGCAGCAGUAGGGAAUCUUCCGCAAUGGACGAAAGUCUGACGGAGCAACGCCGCGUGAGUGAUGAAGGUUUUCGGAUCGUAAAGCUCUGUUGUUAGGGAAGAACAAGUGCCGUUCAAAUAGGGCGGCACCUUGACGGUACCUAACCAGAAAGCCACGGCUAACUACGUGCCAGCAGCCGCGGUAAUACGUAGGUGGCAAGCGUUGUCCGGAAUUAUUGGGCGUAAAGGGCUCGCAGGCGGUUUCUUAAGUCUGAUGUGAAAGCCCCCGGCUCAACCGGGGAGGGUCAUUGGAAACUGGGGAACUUGAGUGCAGAAGAGGAGAGUGGAAUUCCACGUGUAGCGGUGAAAUGCGUAGAGAUGUGGAGGAACACCAGUGGCGAAGGCGACUCUCUGGUCUGUAACUGACGCUGAGGAG
rnacentral:rRNA from 1 species